UGCCAGCCGCCGCGGUAAUACGGAAGGUGCAAGCGUUAUCCGGAAUCACUGGGUUUAAAGGGUGCGUAGGCGGUUAGAUAAGUCAGAGGUGAAAGCUCACAGCUUAACUGUGGAAUUGCCUUUGAUACUGUUUAACUUGAAUCAGGUUGAGGUUGGCGGAAUGUGACAUGUAGCGGUGAAAUGCAUAGAUAUGUCAUAGAACACCAAUUGCGAAGGCAGCUAGCUGGACCUGCAUUGACGCUGAGGCACGAAAGCGUGGGGAGCGAACAGGAUUAGAUA
rnacentral:rRNA from 1 species